AACGAACGCUGGCGGCAGGCUUAACACAUGCAAGUCGAACGGUUGUAGCAAUACAGCAGUGGCAGACGGGUGAGUAACACGGGGAAACCUUCCUAGGGGUACGGAACAACUCAGGGAAACUUGAGCUAAUACCGUAUACGUCCGUGAGGAGAAAGAUUUAUCGCCCUUAGACGGGCCCGCGUCGGAUUAGCUAGUUGGUGGGGUAACGGCCUACCAAGGCGACGAUCCGUAGCUGAUCUUAGAGGAUGAUCAGCCACACUGGGACUGAGACACGGCCCAGACUCCUACGGGAGGCAGCAGUGGGGAAUCUUGGACAAUGGGCGCAAGCCUGAUCCAGCCAUGCCGCGUGAGUGAAGAAGGUCUUCGGAUUGUAAAGCUCUUUGCCAGGGACGAUAAUGACGGUACCUGGAGAAUAAGCCCCGGCAAACUUCGUGCCAGCAGCCGCGGUAAU
rnacentral:rRNA from 1 species